UACGUAGGGUGCGAGCGUUAAUCGGAAUUACUGGGCGUAAAGCGUGCGCAGGCGGUUUUGUAAGCCAGAUGUGAAAUCCCCGGGCUCAACCUGGGAAUGGCAUUUGGGACUGCAAGGCUGGAGUGUGGCAGAGGAGACUGGAAUUCCUGGUGUAGCAGUGAAAUGCGUAGAUAUCAGGAGGAACACCGGUGGCGAAGGCGGAUCUCUGGGCCAUUACUGACGCUGAGGAGCGAAAGCGUGGGGAGCGAACAGG
rnacentral:rRNA from 1 species